rnacentral:misc_RNA from 1 species
GCACGCUGUGAGUGGUGUCGGCUUUUGGAUGAGGUUUGUGCAACUUGAUUAUUAUGCGUUUAACGAUGGACACGGAGGUAUCUUUGACAAAGGUUCCCAUGCGGACUGUCUCGGUGUGUAUCUUGUUAUAAUUUCUUUUAUUUAGUUUAUCCUGCUUCUUUCAUGUUUUAUUCACUGCAUAUGGUAUCUCAGUGCAAGAAGAAGAGGGAUUGUAAAGAAUCCGUGAGUGGCCCCAGAAGACGCAGUCAUCGUGUGAGGUGUUGUAGGCAGGAACGAAGAGUCGAAGUUGUUGAAGGAGUCUUACUUUGUUACGUCGCCUAAAGCAUCUGCACUCCAGCCCUCGCGACCGGACAGCCAGCGGCCUGCGUAACGUCAUUUCGACCCUCAAUAAACUUAAGGACCCAAUAUAGUCUUUCACUUUUACUGUAUUGUACUAACGGGCGUCGUCGGUCAAUCCCUUUGUCCUGAAGAAUUUCUUAAGCCUAAAAUUAUUUUCGAAGCACAUCUGGUUUUUAGAGCGGUUCUUGAGUUUAUUAGGCGCAAUUAAAAAUUACGGAGAAAGCGGACACGCACCCAUUAGCACGCACCCAUUAGGGAAAAUCCAAAUGACU